CCAUGACACAUGAUAAUGUAUACAUCUGCAUCACUUCAUUUCUUAUGAGCUUGUCUUUUUUUUCCAGAUUCCAUCAACAAGUAGAAAGUACAGAUGAGAGGGAAACACCAAAUAAUUGAAGAUAAUAAAAAAGUCCCUGUGCGGUUCUGUGCAUCUGCUUGAAUUAGAUGACUUAGUUAUUUCUACCUGCAGAGCUCAUGACACCAUUGGAGGUGAGAGAAGAAAAACUCUUCCCUUUUUCAAGCACAUCUCUGCCUGCAAUGGAAAGGCAUCCAGAGAAAGAGAGAGAGAGCACACAACCAAGUGCUGCACAGCCAGACUGGAGGGAUUUACAGCACACACCAACUGCACUGUACAAAACUCUACCACUCUCAGCUACACAAGGCUUGUGUGAGUGCUUCUCAUUUGUCUCCCUGCAAAAUAAGACAGUUUAACUGGAACAACCACAGGAGAAUUUAUGUGCUGAAUUUCCUACUAAAGCUGAUCAGGAAAUUUUCCCAAAAUCUAUGGCCUUAGUUAACUGUGUGAAUAGUACUUCAUGCAGCAAGAGUAGAUUCCUAAAACCCCUUCUUAAUAUUUUGGUCUACUUCUUUUUUGUGUUCCUGCUGUCAAAAUGGCUGGAUGGUUACCAGUUUAAUAUAAUCCUUGUAUUCAGAGUAAGCAGAAGAGAGAUAUUGCACUUAGAACUAGUACAAUAGGGAACUUGGUAGACAUUCUGAUACUUCUUUUACAUCCUCAUAUCAGCACGAUGAAGUCCAGUUUAUUGUGCUUUGUGCUUUUACAGCAUUUUUCAACAGAGGAGCUCAAAGUGCUGAACAAAUAUAAACCCGAUAAUAGCCCAGGGCAAAAAACACAUGGUUUUGUGGUAUUUUUGCUUUACUGAAAAUUAGAAAUGGAAAGAAGUUUAAAGAUAAAGUCUAAUUCAAACAGAUACUAAGGAGAAAGUGUGAAGAAUGAGAACCAAUAAAGAACUUAAGCUCCUAUAAAUUAGGUACUAGAAUGUCCAUUCUUCAGUUUGGAACCUCUGAAUUCCUUAAAGUAGAAUCUACAAAAGGCAGUUAUACAUUUUAUGCUCCACUACAUUGUAUAAGAAAAUUACUUGCAUUAAAAGAAUUGUCCCCACAAAUGGCAUAGACCUGGAAGCUUCCUAAAGGAAACAAUAAUUCCUGCGCACCACUGGUAUUUGCUAGUAUCUCAGAAGUAUGAAUAUCACAGUCAAGACAAAGGAGAGAUCUAUGGUAGGAGUAUUAGAAGCACAAGACAAAAUGAGAUUAAAUAAAAAUCAGUUUGGAUUUAUUAAAAGAGGUAGGCACACAUAGGGCAUUGUACUAAAGCAUAAUGCUCCAAUAAGAGUUUUGGACAAGACAAAAGGCUUCAAAACAAAAAAGCUUCUAAAAUUUUGUAUUUACUGAAGUCUACAGCUAUGUAUUCUCAGUAUAAACUGGCUUGAGCAAAGAGAAAAAUAACCCCACAUCCUUUGGCAUUGGUGAGCUUGCAUCAAGCUCAUGAAAUGAAAUUGACAGAUUAUCAAACAUCUGUGUUCCUACUUGUUUUGGGGUUGCAUGGCCUAGUUUUUGGCAGCGGGGAGGCCAGAGAGGUGACUUCUGUGAAAAGCUACUAGAGGCUUCCACAACAUCCAGCAGAGCCAAUCUCUGGUGGUUCUGAAGAAAGACAUGCUGCUGGCCAUGGCUGGGCUGAUUAGAAAUGGUGGUAAUGCCUUUGUGAUAACAGAUUUAAGAAGAAAUCAAAACAAAGGUUGUGGCACAGUUUUCAUUCCAGCCAGCAAAGAGGAGGAGGUGAGAACAUGUGAGAAGAACAGCCCUGCAGACACCCAGGUCAG